rnacentral:lncRNA from 1 species
GUCGCCCACCAGUAAAAUGCGGGAAUACUUUUAAGUUCUAGGUCGUCCACUAGUAUAAUGCGUGAAUACAUUUAAGUUCUAGGUCGCCCACUAGUAAAAUGCGGGAAUACAUUUAAGUUCUAGGUCGCCCACCAGUAAAAUGCGGGAAUACUUUUCAGCUCUAGAUUUUGGAAUCAGUAACCCCACCUGAAGACGGAAGGUUACAACAGAGAUCCCCAAGCAGGAAACAAUAAAAUCCCCAGCACCAAGAAG